rnacentral:rRNA from 1 species
AGCGAACGCUGGCGGCAGGCUUAACACAUGCAAGUCGAACGGGCGUAGCAAUACGUCAGUGGCAGACGGGUGAGUAACGCGUGGGAACGUACCUUUUGGUUCGGAACAACCCAGGGAAACUUGGGCUAAUACCGGAUAAGCCCUUACGGGGAAAGAUUUAUCGCCGAAAGAUCGGCCCGCGUCUGAUUAGCUAGUUGGUGUGGUAACGGCGCACCAAGGCGACGAUCAGUAGCUGGUCUGAGAGGAUGAUCAGCCACAUUGGGACUGAGACACGGCCCAAACUCCUACGGGAGGCAGCAGUGGGAAUAUUGGACAAUGGGCGCAAGCCUGAUCCAGCCAUGCCGCGUGAGUGAUGAAGGCCCUAGGGUUGUAAAGCUCUUUUA